rnacentral:rRNA from 1 species
AGACAGAGGUGGCAAGCGUUGUUCGGAUUUACUGGGCUUAAAGGGCGUGUAGGCGUCCCGAUCAGUCAGAUGUGGAAGCUCUGGGCUCAACCCAGGAAUUGCAUUUGAUACUGUCGGGAUUGAGUCGUGCAUGGGAGGGCGGAAUUCCUGGUGUAGCGGUGAAAUGCGUAGAUAUCAGGAGGAAGGCCGGUGGCGAAGGUGGCCCUCUGGGCAAUGACUGACGCUGAGGCGCGAAAGCGUGGGGAGCAAACAGGAUUAGAAACCCGGGUAGUCC